rnacentral:lncRNA from 1 species
CUGCGUUUAUAUAGUUAUAAUAAUAAUGUACCUUCUUAUUUAGUUUGUUAAAAAUACUAAGACAUCUUUCUAUAUCAGGUAUCUUUUUCAGAAAAUGGCAUAUUUGUGUAUCCGUGUAGUUCCGAAACUGAUAAUCUGUAUCAUUUAGUUUAACCAUAGUAUGAUUUAUACAUAAUUCAUUACUUAGCCGAUUAGCCCUCUCCCCCUCUUUGGCUCGUUUCUGGAUCUGCCACUGAGCAUACAACUUGCAUUAUGGUAUCCACAAUAAGUCGUUUAUUGAUCAAAAUCCAC